rnacentral:misc_RNA from 1 species
UCGCAAGCCUCUCCAUUGAUUUUCAAGCUUUAUCGCCCUCCAAGAAUCUUCUCACAAAUGGAUUGCAGAUAAUUUGAAUUGAUAAGACAAUAUAUUUCAUGAUUCACGAAUACAACCUCUAAACAGCAGGAUAAAAGGACGUGAGGGAGGAGGUCAGGAUGUUAAUGAAAUCAGUAACGUGCCUAUAUUUACAAUGCACAAAUUGUACGACCUCUGACAAAACAAAUGGACACAAUAAGGAUUUAGAAAUUAAAAAAAAAAAAAAAUCUCCAGAUGAAGAUGAUCAGCCAUAUUCCGAUGUCCGAUAAGCACCAAAGGAGCAUGAGAAUUGUCAGCUUGAACUUACUGUGUUGUCACACUCUUCGCAAGAUUGCGAGGUUGGUCCACAUUGUAACCCUUUAGAACAGUGAGGUGAUAUGCCAGUAACUGCAAUGGAACUAUAUUAACAACAGGUUGAAGACAAUCCUCAACCUGUGGAACUUCAAUUACUCGGCAGGAUUCCCCAGGAGACACAGAUGCAGCAUCACCUUUUGAACACAUCACUAUCAAGCGACCUUUACGAGCAUGAAGUUGCUGAAUGACUGACUGCUGUUUGCUGAAACAGGUAUCACGAGUUGCAAUGACAAUAAUUGGAAGAUUUUCAUCCACCAAUGCUAAAGGACCAUGUUUCAUUUCUCCAGCAAGCAUUCC